UGCCUCUGUACCAGAGGCAGCAGCAUAGGGUGGCAGUUAGCUCCCCUGAAGCUGACGCAUGCCAAGAGCCAGCUUAAAACCUGGCUCCCAUUACGUACCAGUUCCUUGCUCCCAUCCUGUUCCCAGGGAGCUGGCUGCUGCCCUGCAAUGCAGGCUCUGGUACAGAGCCAGCAGUGAGGGGUGGCAGCUUGUGUAUAAUCAUUCACGGUAACCAAGAAACCCUAUAUUCUUAUCAGUUAACCGUGUAAACAGUUAUCCUAUUACAGCUCUAAUACGUAUAUGCUGUCAAAAAAGGGAAAGAAGAAAUAAAGCAAGAAAAUUAUUUGAAGAACCAAUAUUAACAUACAUACAGAACAAGUUAAUAGUAUCUGCAAUUACAAACAUUGCCGAUACAAUACAAUGUACAAUUGUAGCAAAAAUGUAUAUUUUAAUAUUGAUUAUAAGAUUAUAAGUAUGACACCUUUAUAAGCAUAACACAAUUUCUUAUUACAAUUAGAAAUAAGAAUUAAACAAUAAUCUAAUUUCUUCAUUAAAACAAGUUCCUCUUGAACCUACACUUUCUCCUAAGAAGCAGGGUAGAGAUAAGAGAAGGCAACAGAGUGCAGAAGAAGAUGGGAAAGUUAAAUGGAUUUAAUGUGGCACACCUGAAGGGACAAAAGAGAAUGAACAGGAGUGGGUAAGUGAGAAUGGAAAAGUGAGAGGUAAGAGAGAAUAAGAAGCUGUUGUGGGGUAGAUGUAAUGUUCUUCUGGAAGGGACAUGUGUUCGUGAAGUAAGAGUGGAUCUUUUUAAAGGACACAAAGAGCAGAAACAAAAGUACAAUGUGUGGGGGUAUUGAGAAAUGGGGACUGGGAUGAAAGAACAGAAGAUAGCAACUUUUGAGUGAAGCAGCAGAAGCAUGGGACAUUUGUUGAGGACAGAUAACAGAGAGUGGCAACUGAGUGUGUUUAAGAGGACAGGAAAGAAAAGGGCCUUUGAAAAGUCUUUUGAAAGUAUAAGGUGGACACUCUCUCUUAUGUCUCCCAAAUCUUUAUGUUGUAGGGCAGUGGCACUCAGCCUUUCUGGACUACCUUAUCUCUUUCAGCAGUCUGAUUUGUCUUACAUACCCUCAACUUUCACCUCAUUUAAAAACUACUUGCUUACACAAUCAGAUAUAAAAUGUCACAGCACAUUCUGAUUCUCUCAUUUUACCAUAGAACUAUAUAACUAAAUAAACUGGAGUAUAAAUAUUUUACUUUCAUUUCAGUGUAUAAUAUAUAAAGAAGUUUAAACAAGUCAUUGGAUGAAAUUUUAGUUUGUAUUGAGUUAACUAAUGUUUUUUAUUUAACCAGUUCUAGAACAAGGUAACUAUUUAGAAGAAUUAAGGUACCUUCUGGAAUAUUUCCACAUAUUUCCGGUUAAGAACCACUGUUUGAGGCAUUAUAAAAAAGUAUACAAAAGAAUUCAAAGAAAAAAUUGAUUUGAGCUCUUUUGUGAGCCCUGACAUGAUAAAAAAGUUUUAAAGUGUCCCUUCCAAAAAAAAUCUGAUUACUUUAUUACAUCUGAAAUUUAUAUUUUUAUCUACCCUGAAAUAUUUUAUAGUAGACUAGCAACUAGAGCAGCAGAAAGACAUCAUACAUACCCAAGCAAGCAAAACCAGAGGGAUUUUUAUUCUGACUGUUUAAAACCUUGUUUGGUUGUUGUUGUUUUGAUAGAGCCUAUUUAAAUAUAACUCUUGGGAGAAAAACUUGUUUUGUUUGUUAAGAACACAACACUUCCACCCCUUCAAUUAAAGGCUGGAAAAGCUCCCAAUGCACAUCUGAGUCAUCAACACAGCCCUCCAACAAGAAGAAAAAGAUAAGACGUGACAUUUCUGAUAUUUCUAAGGGAGAAAAAGCAACAGAAAAAUGGUUGAGGGUGAAAUAACCAUCAAGCUUCCUCUAUAAGCUUCCUUAACUCAGGGCUUGCCGUUUUCUGUUUUACCUGAUAAACACAAUAAAACACCCGCAAAAAAAGAAAUGAAAUUGGUGUUUACCCAAAAACCACCAGAAAUACUUAUAUCUCCAGCCUUGUCUAUCCAGAGCAGUAAAUGCAGACUAUGACAUAUUGGGAAACAUGACAGCAUUAUUACAGCAUAGUGAAGGGGAUUACCCUCUCACAGGCACCCCUUUGUGGCUGAAGGUGUAACUGCAACUUCGCUGCACUGACUGGCUCUGGGAGUGGAAGUGUUCCAGAUGGCUUUUCUGGCUUAAUUCUUGGCUCCAUCACAGACUUUAUGAGCGAGCUCAGGUCAUCAUAUUUCAGCCAGUUCUGGUAACACAGGGAAAAAUCGUGAGUUAUGCUUUUGUUGACUGUUCUCAUCAGAGCCUUCAGCUUUGUUUUUUAGAUCUAGAGCCAGAUAUACAGAGGUAUUUGGGUGCCUGAAGAGGCAGACACAUGCCCAAUCUGCUUUGCACUCCAGAAAACUCCAGAUGUCUAACUCCCAUUACAAAUCAAAUGAAAGUGUUUGUAAAUCUAAGCCAUUAACACCUCCUUAUUUUGCUGCACGGAGCAGCUCCAUUUAGCAGCUUCUUGACAAUGUCCCACGCAUCAGCUGAACUCCCUGCCUGUAAGGCUCAAGCCGCAGUAUAGGCUCCCUGCUUCAUAGAAGAGGGAGGGAGGGAUGGGACUGAGCUCCCUCCCACACGCCAAUGAAAAUCGGCACUGAGCUUGCACCGUAGGUUGCCAACCUGUUUUAUGAUUUUAUGAAAAUUAGGAUUAUGAAAGGGAGACUUCUCCAAAUUAUUUGAAUUAAAUGCAAUUGGAAGACUAGAUCUUAACUCCAUCUUGUUUGUGACAUGUUUAAUUCUAUUCACCCCCCUCACAUGGACUUCUCAGAUGACCUCUUCUUACUAGAUCCCAGGAUAAGAAAUGAAAUGGCAAAAAAGCUUAAUUAAACACUAAGUUAAGGUGCCUGCUAAUAACUUAUGUUUUUCCAGGUCGUCAAGCUCAGAAAAACUCAUAUCAAAAUCGUUACUUGUUUCAUAUGCUCAUGCUCAUUCCACUAGUGUGGCAAAGCUCUGACCAUGCCCCGUGGGUCCUGCAUUUCUGCUGGACAUUGUUUGCCUGAGAGGCGUGGUAUGACCCUCCACCCAGCCCCCUGCGCUUUACUAGAGGCAAGGAUUACAGCCUACUGAGCCUCUCUCAUCACAGGCUUGGCCAUAGUAUGGGGUGUAACCCCUGCACAGUCCUGUUCUCCCCUCUCAGGGGCAGAUUCUGCAGUGAAGUGGGAAGAAUUGGGGAGGACCCAGGCCAGGGACCCUAAGGGAACAGCAACAGACAGGGUUUGUUCUGCUCCCAGUCUGACAACUAUUUUCCUGAGCCACUUCGCCCAACAAUCCCUCCUGGUACCUUUCCUCUGCUACCUGAGCAAGCCUGCCCUGCUCCUCCAUGGCACUCUACCUUACUUGCAGACCCCAACUUUCACUCAGAUACUUCUUACUCUCAGAUCUUAGGCUCCUUCCAUUCUCCAAACUCCUCAUGCACUUUCAAUUAACUGCAGAGGAGCUCUUUUUAACCUGUCUCAGCUGAUUCUUAAUUGACCCAGGUGCUCUGAUUACACUCCAGAAACUUCCCAAUUGUCUCUAUAUGCUUCAGUUGGCCUGACUGAUUCCAGAAGGUUCCUUCUGGUUCAGGGUUAGCCCUUUGUAGUUCACCCUGGGUACAGAGACUAACUCAAUCUUGGGCUAACGUACUUUCCUUCUACCACUCUCCUGUACCUCUGUGGCCUGACACAGUCACACUGGAAAGUCCGACAGUGGGGAAGCAGGGUAGGUCAUGGAAUAAACAUAAGCAACACAUCUCUAAGAACACUGGUUACAGAACAGGUAACUGUCUUUUCUUUUCAAGUGCUUGCUCAUGUCCAUUCUAUAUUAGGUUACUCCAAGCAGUACCCAUGCAAGCCAUGUAGCUUGUAGUACAGCUCUGCUGAAUCCAACAUUAUCUAUGACCGGCUGAGUGAUGGCAUAAAUGAGACUGAGUGGCAUAACAUGUAGACUGAGGACUAAAUCACAUUCUUUAGAAGUCCUGGAUCGGGAUGUGUGCCAGAAAAGCUUCCAAAGACGCCUAUGCUCUAGUUGAAUGUGCUUGGACAAUCAGCAGUGAUGGACCUUUGCCAACACUUUAUGCAAGAGCUGAUCCAGAUGGAAAUUCUCUGCGAAGAAACUGGAAGGCCUUCAUCCUAUCCGCUAUAGCGAUUAAGAGCUGGGUCAAUUUGCAAAAAGGCUUGAUACCCUCCAAGUAAAAGGCAAAGGUCCUUUGGAUGUCCAGGGUGUGCAGACACCUCUUCUCUGUGGUUUUGUGCAGAACACAGGCAGGAAUAUGUAUUGGUUCACAUGGGAGGAAGACACCAUUGCAAGAAAGCCAGGUGGGGCUGCAGCUGGACCCAAUCCUCAUAAAAAACCAUCUAUGGCAGUUCCCAGGUCAAGGCUUUGAUCUCCUGAUCUCCCAGACUAGUCUCACCACCAGGAAAGUGACCUUCCAAGACAAGCGGGAUAGGGAACAGUUGACCAACGGCUUGAACGGUGGGCAGGUUAGUCUGGAGAGGACCAGGUUAAGAUCCCACUGCAGAACAGGGGCUCGCACCUGCAGGUAAAGCCUCUUGAGAGCCUUCAGGAAUCUUUCAUGUCAUGAGAAAAUACUAACUGACCUUGUAUCAUUUGGUGGAAUGUAGAGACAGCUGGAAGGUGCGAUCUGACAGAAUCUUGUGCUAGACUGGGGUGGGCAAUAAUUUUUACCCGGGGGCCACUUCAAAAAUUUUUGAAGUAGUC